UAUACAUGUUGUAUAUUAUCAAGACACGUCAUGGUGAUAUCAACAGAUAUAUAAAACUUAAAAUAUAACGCAUGCAGAAAAAACUGUUAAAGCCAUGCAUAUAUUGAAAUUUGGAUUACUCCUCUUCUGGUUAGUAAUGUCGGCCAGUGGAUGUGAUGAAUGGGCUAAACAAAACCCCUGUAUGUGUACAUGUGAUGACGACAACAAUGAAUGUGCAGACAGAUGUAAAGUUAUAGCAGCAGAAAAUGAAAAACUCCGUUGUUCUGAACAGUGUUUUAUGAUAGCCAAAGACUGCUGGAGUUCAUGCGCUAUUGACAUGAAGUCUGAUUUGUAAUGCAGAUAAACAUUAAAAUGUAACAA